rnacentral:rRNA from 1 species
CAACAGGGAUUGCCUUAGUAACGGCGAGUGAAGCGGCAAAAGCUCAAAUUUGAAAUCUGGCACCUUCGGUGUCCGAGUUGUAAUUUGAAGAAGGUAACUUUGGAGUUGGCUCUUGUCUAUGUUCCUUGGAACAGGACGUCACAGAGGGUGAGAAUCCCGUGCGAUGAGAUGCCCAAUUCUAUGUAAAGUGCUUUCGAAGAGUCGAGUUGUUUGGGAAUGCAGCUCUAAGUGGGUGGUAAAUUCCAUCUAAAGCUAAAUAUUGGCGAGAGACCGAUAGCGAACAAGUACAGUGAUGGAAAGAUGAAAAGAACUUUGAAAAGAGAGUGAAAAAGUACGUGAAAUUGUUGAAAGGGAAGGGCUUGAGAUCAGACUUGGUAUUUUGCGAUCCUUUCCUUCUUGGUUGGGUUCCUCGCAGCUUACUGGGCCAGCAUCGG